CGCGGUGAAUACGUUCCCGGACCUUGUACACACCGCCCGUCAAGCCAUGGGAGUUGGGGAGACCUGAAGACGGUAACCAUUUAGGAGCCGUUUAGGGUAAAACCAGUGACUGGGGCU
rnacentral:rRNA from 1 species